UACAGAGGGUGCAAGCGUUGUUCGGAAUUAUUGGGCGUAAAGCGCGCGUAGGCGGCUUUGCAAGUCGGGUGUGAAAUCCCCAGGCUUAACCUGGGUACUGCAUUCGAGACUGCAUUGCUAGAGUAUGGGAGAGGGAAGUGGAAUUUCCGGUGUAGCGGUGAAAUGCGUAGAUAUCGGAAGGAACAUCAGUGGCGAAAGCGACUUCCUGGACCAGUACCGACGUUCAGGCACGAAAGCGUGGGGAGCAAACAGG
rnacentral:rRNA from 1 species